UACGUAGGUGACAAGCGUUGUCCGGAUUUACUGGGCGUAAAGAGCUCGUAGGCGGCUCGUUGCGUCGGCUGUGAAAAACCCGCAGCUCAACUGUGGGCUUGCAGCUGAUACGGGCGGGCUGGGAUUCGGUAGGGGAGACUGGAAUUCCUAGUGUAGCGGUGAAAUGCGCAGAUAUCAGGAGGAACACCGGUGGCGAAGGCGGGUCUCUGGGCCGAUAUCGACGCUGAGGAGCGAAAGCGUGGGGAGCGAACAGG
rnacentral:rRNA from 1 species